GUAUACAUAGCUCAGUGGUAGAGUUCUUGCCUAGCAAGCAUGAGGCCCUGGGUUAAAUCCCCAGUACU
rnacentral:tRNA from 1 species